CAUUAAGUGGCUGAAUAGUAAAGCAUUGGUCUCUUAAACCAUCUUAUAGUAUUUAACAAAUACUCUUAAUGA
rnacentral:tRNA from 1 species